rnacentral:rRNA from 1 species
UAUGAUAAACUUUCCCUAGUACGAAAGGACCGGGAAAGUGAGGCCAAUACCCCAGGCAAGCCCCCCUAAAAGUAAUGAACACAUCUAAAUUACUACCAAGACAUCAACAACUACACCCUACUCCCUAGAAAAGGGCC